rnacentral:rRNA from 1 species
AACGCGAAGAACCUUACCUGGGCUUGACAUCCCGACGACCGGUGUAGAGAUACGCCUUUUCUUCGGAACGUCGGUGACAGGUGGUGCAUGGUUGUCGUCAGCUCGUGUCGUGAGAUGUUGGGUUAAGUCCCGCAACGAGCGCAACCCUUAUUGUUAGUUGCCAUCAUUCAGUUGGGCACUCUAGCGAGACUGCCGGUAAUAAACCGGAGGAAGGUGGGGAUGACGUCAAAUCAUCAUGCCCCUUAUGACCUGGGCUACACACGUGCUACAAUGGUUGGUACAACGAGUCGCAAGUCGGUGACGGUAAGCAAAUCUCUUAAAGCCAAUCUCAGUUCGGAUUGUAGGCUGCAACUCGCCUACAUGAAGUCGGAAUCGCUAGUAAUCGCGGAUCAGCACGCCGCGGUGAAUACGUUCCCGGGUCUUGUACACACGC